GGGCCCGCACAAGCGGUGGAGUAUGUGGUUUAAUUCGAUGCAACGCGAAGAACCUUACCAGGGUUUGACAUCCUGCGAAUCUCUUGGAAACGAGAGAGUGCCUUCGGGAACGCAGUGACAGGUGGUGCAUGGCUGUCGUCAGCUCGUGUCGUGAGAUGUUGGGUUAAGUCCCGCAACGAGCGCAACCCACGUCGUUAGUUGCCAGCAUUUAGUUGGGCACUCUACGAGACUGCCGGUGACAAACCGGAGGAAGGUGGGGACGACGUCAAUCAUCAUGGCCCUUACGACCUGGGCUACACACGUGCUAAAUGGCCAGUACAGAGGGCUGCUAACCCCGUAGGGGGCG
rnacentral:rRNA from 1 species